AGUUUGGGCUGUCUCUGUGGCUGGUUCUGCGGCGUGCGGCCAGCCAUGGAGCGCUCUGGGCCCAGCGAAGGUGGGUUUCAUGAAGCGAGUCCUGGCGGGGUGGGCCGUGUCGGGGGAGCUGGGGCGCCGCACUAACUAGGCCGCCUCUCUUUUCUUGCUCCAGUGACAGGCUCAGACGCAUCGGGACCGGACCCGCAGCUUGCGGUCACCAUGGGCUUCACGGGGUUCGGUAAAAAAGCUCGCACAUUUGACUUGGAAGCAAUGUUUGAACAAACUCGAAGAACAGCUGUGGAAAGAAGUUGCAAAACACUGGGUAAGAAGUUCAGAUAUUUGUCGUUUUAUUGGUUUAAGUACUAUGUAUACCUCAUGUAAGUAUAUUAAAAAA
ensembl:lncRNA GUSBP1 GUSB pseudogene 1